ensembl:scaRNA
CGGCUCGGUUUCCUGGGGCGUGGGCUCAGCUGCCCCACUCCCCCUCAGCCGAGCCUAGAGCACAGAGGCCUGGCUUCCCCCCCAUGGGAGAGGCACCUGAGACGGGCACCUUCUCCUGGGCUGUCUUCGCCUCACAUUU